AAUCAGUAUCAGUUUUAUCCAGUGACUAAAACUAUCAACACCAACUCCAAAAUGAUGAAAUUCAUGAUUCUCUUGUUCGUCGCCUUGAUGGCCGUCAUCGCUACUGCUGUGGCUGAGCCAGAGCCACAACCAUCAGGCAUCAUUGCCGGUGCUCCAAUUUUGGCCGCGGCUCCAGCCGUUGCUGUAGGAGGAUGGGGCUGGGGUGGUCAUGGACUCGUACAUGGUUAAAUCAUGAAAAUUAUAACAAUCUUCCGGAUUGUCUCCGAUGUUACCGAUCAAUAAAUAGGCUUUAGAAAAUUAUAA